CGCUGGCGGCGUGCUUAACACAUGCAAGUCGAACGGAAAGGCCCUUCGGGGUACUCGAGUGGCGAACGGGUGAGUAACACGUGGGUGAUCUGCCCUGCACUUUGGGAUAAGCCUGGGAAACUGGGUCUAAUACCGAAUAGGACCACGCGCUUCAUGGUGUGUGGUGGAAAGCUUUUGCGGUGUGGGAUGGGCCCGCGGCCUAUCAGCUUGUUGGUGGGGUAAUGGCCUACCAAGGCGACGACGGGUAGCCGGCCUGAGAGGGUGACCGGCCACACUGGGACUGAGAUACGGCCCAGACUCCUACGGGAGGCAGCAGUGGGGAAUAUUGCACAAUGGGCGCAAGCCUGAUGCAGCGACGCCGCGUGAGGGAUGACGGCCUUCGGGUUGUAAACCUCUUUCACCAGGGACGAAGCGCAAGUGACGGUACCUGGAGAAGAAGCACCGGCCAACUACGUGCCAGCAGCCGCGGUAAUACGUAGGGUGCGAGCGUUGUCCGGAAUUACUGGGCGUAAAGAGCUCGUAGGUGGUUUGUCGCGUUGUUCGUGAAAACUCACAGCUUAACUGUGGGCGUGCGGGCGAUACGGGCAGACUAGAGUACUGCAGGGGAGACUGGAAUUCCUGGUGUAGCGGUGGAAUGCGCAGAUAUCAGGAGGAACACCGGUGGCGAAGGCGGGUCUCUGGGCAGUAACUGACGCUGAGGAGCGAAAGCGUGGGGAGCGAACAGGAUUAGAUACCCUGGUAGUCCACGCCGUAAACGGUGGGUACUAGGUGUGGGUUCCUUCCUUGGGAUCCGUGCCGUAGCUAACGCAUUAAGUACCCCGCCUGGGGAGUACGGCCGCAAGGCUAAAACUCAAAGGAAUUGACGGGGGCCCGCACAAGCGGCGGAGCAUGUGGAUUAAUUCGAUGCAACGCGAAGAACCUUACCUGGGUUUGACAUGCACAGGACGCCGGCAGAGAUGUCGGUUCCCUUGUGGCCUGUGUGCAGGUGGUGCAUGGCUGUCGUCAGCUCGUGUCGUGAGAUGUUGGGUUAAGUCCCGCAACGAGCGCAACCCUUGUCCUAUGUUGCCAGCGGGUUAUGCCGGGGACUCGUAGGAGACUGCCGGGGUCAACUCGGAGGAAGGUGGGGAUGACGUCAAGUCAUCAUGCCCCUUAUGUCCAGGGCUUCACACAUGCUACAAUGGCCGGUACAAAGGGCUGCGAUGCCGUGAGGUGGAGCGAAUCCUUUCAAAGCCGGUCUCAGUUCGGAUCGGGGUCUGCAACUCGACCCCGUGAAGUCGGAGUCGCUAGUAAUCGCAGAUCAGCAACGCUGCGGUGAAUACGUUCCCGGGCCUUGUACACACCGCCCGUCACGUCAUGAAAGUCGGUAACACCCGAAGCCGG
rnacentral:rRNA from 2 species